rnacentral:rRNA from 1 species
GACAGAGGGUGCAAACGUUGUUCGGAAUUACUGGGCGUAAAGCGCGUGUAGGCGGCUAAGUAAGUCGGGCGUGAAAUCCCACGGCUCAACCGUGGAAGUGCACUCGAAACUGCAUAGCUAGAGUCCUGGAGAGGAAGGUGGAAUGCUUGGUGUAGAGGUGAAAUUCGUAGAUAUCAAGCGGAACACCGGUGGCGAAGGCGGUUCUCUGGGCCUUACCUGACGCUGAGGAGCGAAAGCGUGGGGAGCGAACAGG